rnacentral:rRNA from 1 species
UGGGGAAUCUUCCGCAAUGGACGAAAGUCUGACGGAGCAACGCCGCGUGAACGAUGACGGCCUUCGGGUUGUAAAGUUCUGUUAUACGGGACGAAUGGUACGACGGCCAAUACCCGUCGUAAGUGACGGUACCGUAAGAGAAAGCCACGGCUAACUACGUGCCAGCAGCCGCGGUAAUACGUAGGUGGCAAGCGUUGUCCGGAUUUAUUGGGCGUAAAGGGAACGCAGGCGGUCUUUUAAGUCUGAUGUGAAAGCCUUCGGCUUAACCGAAGUCGUGCAUUGGAAACUGGGAGACUUGAGUGCAGAAGAGGAGAGUGGAACUCCAUGUGUAGCGGUGAAAUGCGUAGAUAUAUGGAAGAACACCAGUGGCGAAAGCGGCUCUCUGGUCUGUAACUGACGCUGAGGUUCGAAAGCGUGGGUAGCAAACAGGAUUAGAUACCCUGGUAGUCCACGCUGUAAACGAUGAAUGCUAAGUGUUGGAGGGUUUCCGCCCUUCAGUGCUGCAGCUAACGCAUUAAGCAUUCCGCCUGGGGAGUACGACCGCAAGGUUG